CCUACGGGUGGCUGCAGUAACGAAUCUUCCGCAAUGCACGCAAGUGUGACGGAGCGACGCCGCGUGUGGGACGAAGUCCUUCGGGAUGUAAACCACUGUCAGGGGUUACCAAGUUCUGAGGAGCCCCAGAGGAAGGCACGGCUAACUCUGUGCCAGCAGCCGCGGUAAGACAGAGGUGCCGAGCGUUAGGCGGAAUCACUGGGCUUAAAGCGUGUGUAGGCGGACGGGUAAGUACCUUGUGAAAUCCCACGGCUCAACCGUGGAACGGCUCGGUAUACUGCCCGUCUUGAGCCACUUAGGGGUCGUCGGAACAAACGGUGGAGCGGUGAAAUGCGUAGAUAUCGUUUGGAACGCCAACGGUGAAAACAGACGACUGGGAGUGUGCUGACGCUGAGACACGAAAGCCAGGGGAGCGAACGGGAUUAGAUACCCUUGUAGUC
rnacentral:rRNA from 1 species